rnacentral:rRNA from 1 species
CUCAUCCCCGUAAGACUACCCGCUGAACUUAAGCAUAUCAAUAAGCGGAGGAAAAGAAACCAACAGGGAUUGCCUCAGUAACGGCGAGUGAAGCGGCAAAAGCUCAAAUUUGAAAUCCCUCGGGAAUUGUAAUUUGAAGGUGGCUCAAGCAACCCCAAAAGUUCCUAAGUCCAUUGGAAAAUGGCGCCAUAGAGGGUGAUAGCCCCGUCUGGAACACUUUUGAGGCCUAUCUUGGACCACCAAAGAGUCGAGUUGUUUGGGAAUGCAGCUCUAAGUGGGUGGUAAAUUCCAUCUAAAGCUAAAUAUUGGCGAGAGACCGAUAGCGAACAAGUACAGUGAUGGAAAGAUGAAAAGCACUUUGAAAAGAGAGUGAAAAAGUACGUGAAAUUGUUGAAAGGGAAGGGCUUGCAAGCAGACACAACUUUUUGUUGGGCCAGCAUCGGGGCGAGGGGGGUCAAAAAUGCAUGGGAAUGUAGCUCAUUGAGUAUUAUAUCCCAUGUUUCAUCCCCAUCUCAUCCCGAGGCCUGCGAUUCUAGGAUGCUGGCGUAAUGGUUGCAAGUCGCCCGUCUUGAAACACGGACC